rnacentral:rRNA from 1 species
UGGGCCUAAGGGGGGCAGCAGUGGGGAAUAUUGCACAAUGGGGGAAACCCUGAUGCAGCGACGCCGCGUGGGCGAGGAAGUACCUCGGUAUGUAAAGCCCUAUCAGCAGGGAAGAAACAGGACAGUACCUGACUAAGAAGCCCCGGCUAACUACGUGCCAGCAGCCGCGGUAAUACGUAGGGGGCAAGCGUUAUCCGGAUUCACUGGGUGUAAAGGGUGCGUAGGUGGCAGGGCAAGUCAGAUGUGAAAGCCCGGGGCCCAACCCCGGUACUGCAUUUGAAACUGUCCGGCUGGAGUGCAGGAGG